rnacentral:rRNA from 1 species
UACGUAGGGUGCAAGCGUUGUCCGGAAUUAUUGGGCGUAAAGAGCUCGUAGGCGGUUUGUCGCGUCUGCUGUGAAAACUGGAGGCUCAACCUCCAGCCUGCAGUGGGUACGGGCAGACUAGAGUGCGGUAGGGGAGAUUGGAAUUCCUGGUGUAGCGGUGGAAUGCGCAGAUAUCAGGAGGAACACCAAUGGCGAAGGCAGCUCACUGGGACGGUAUUGACGCUGAGACGCGAAAGCGUGGGGAGCAAACAGG